rnacentral:misc_RNA from 1 species
AUUUUUGUGCCCAUCGUUGGCACUAUUAAGGAAUGGAAUAUAG